CCAAAUCUCUAUCGUUUCUUACGGUAAAGAGAAGCCAGCAGUUCUGGGCCAUACUGAAGACGCGUACGCUAAAAACCGUCGCGCAGUACUGGUUUACUAAUAAGGAUAUCGCAUGAACCGUAACUACAGACCGAUUAUCAGU
rfam:Plesiomonas shigelloides 302-73 genomic scaffold scaffold00002, whole genome shotgun sequence.